rnacentral:rRNA from 1 species
GACGAACGCUGGCGGCGUGCUUAACACAUGCCAGUCGAACGGUGAAGCGCCUUCCUUUUUGGUGGGUGUGGAUGAGUGGCGAACGGGUGAGUAACACGUGAGUAACCUGCCCCCUUCUUCUGGAUAACCGCAUGAAAGUGUGGCUAAUACGGGAUAUUCUGGGUCUGUCGCAUGAUGGGUCUGGGAAAGAUAUUGUUUCGGUGGGGGAUGGGCUCGCGGCCUAUCAGCUUGUUGGUGGGGUGAUGGCCUACCAAGGCGGUGACGGGUAGCCGGCCUGAGAGGGUGGACGGUCACACUGGGACUGAGUCACGGCCCAGACUGCUACGGGAGGCAGCAGUGGGGAAUAUUGCGCAAUGGGCGCAAGCCUGAUGCAGCGACGCCGCGUGAGGGAUGGAGGCCUUCGGGUUGUGAACCUCUUUCGCCAGUGAAGCAGGCCUGCCUCGUUUGUGGGUGGGUUGACGGUAGCUGGAUAAGAAGCGCCGGCUAACUACGUG